UACGGGGGGGGGCAAGCGUUGUUCGGAAUUACUGGGCGUAAAGGCUCGUAGGCGGCCAACUAAGUCAGACGUGAAAUCCCUCAGCUUAACUGGGGAACUGCGUCUGAUACUGGAUGGCUUGAGAUUGGGAGAGGGAUGCGGAAUUCCAGGUGUAGCGGUGAAAUGCGUAGAUAUCUGGAGGAACACCGGUGGCGAAGGCGGCAUCCUGGGACCAACACUGACGCUGAGGAGCGAAAGCCAGGGGAGCAAACGGG
rnacentral:rRNA from 1 species